GAAAACGUUGCCUCUAAACUGAAAUCUCAAGUGUAGAGUGUUGGUGGAGGUAAUCCUCAAACCGAAACUACAACCACUGUCUCCUCUCGAGGCCGGCGCUACCACCAUCCCCAACCAUCAAGGACUACCAGACAUUGUCGGUGCUGUGAAGGGUCACCGGAGACUGGUCGAAGAGGUGGUCGGAUUCCCUUUACUCUCUCUCUAUGAAGAAUGUGUGUCUGUGAUAAAGAAUGUAUAGAUUUUGGAGGGUUUUUGUGGGAUUGGGUAUUGGUGGGUUUUUAUGGGAUUUUGAGGGGAAAAUAAAGAAUAUUUGGCUGAUUUUGGGGUGGUGAUGAUUGAUGAAACUUUUACCGAACACUUUUACGUACUUUUUAUACUCUUUAUGAUUUGUGAAUAUUCAUACGUGUAAUUAUUUUAAACAUACAACUUAUAAUAUACGAUAUGGUUUCGUACGAACAUUUAAAGUUAACGUGUUAACUUUCACACAAACGGUAAAGUUUGGACACACGAGAGGAUUAUCUCGUCAUAACGCAAAGUUAUCUAGGAUAACUUUCUACCCAAGAUAGUUUAUGAAACUUGAGGGACUAAAAGUGUCAAUGAACUGAAGUUAUAACCUUUAAAAGUUCAAACCUGACCCUCGCGACCCUUGUCACCUUCGUGACACAUUUACACCCGAAGUUCACACCUUCGCGAACCCUCUUGACCUUCGUAAUACCAUAGGACCCAAAGGACACACCUUCACGGCUCAUUCCACCUUAGGUGACCCACUGUACCUUCGGCCCAAUAUCACGUAACAAAUUAUAAAUACAUGCAACACAUCGCCUAAAACCCUAGUUACGAUCACUCAAACCCUUCUCCUGCCAACUUUCCUCUGAUCGACGAAGAAGACCCACAUGCGAAGGAUCUCGCCCCCCCCUCUCUCUCUCGCGAUAUCUACCUCUCGGACGUGGUUGACCAAUGCUACUACAAAUCAUUUAAUAUUCUACCUGAGCAAACUAAGGUGAGUUCACAACUCUUUUCUAAAGGCAUGCGUCCCUGGUUUGAGGCAACACACUUACUUCCCUGGUUUAGGAAACACAUAUGGUACCCCUGGAUUGGGAUCACACAUACUCUACUAUCCCUGAGCGUGAAGAAGUAGGUGAGGGUUUAAUUAAUGGGUGGGUCCACAAACAAUAAACAAUUUAUUAAUUAAAAUUUUGUUCUAGUUAUUGUUUCUAAUAAGUAAGGGUAGUUUAGUAAUUUCGCAUAGACUUAACUAAGAAAACUAACCCCCAUUUACUUCAGGGACUAUCCGAGUAACAAUCGAGCAAACCACAAGGAGCAUGAGUGUAAUUUUAUAAAGUUGAGGACUCAAUGUGAAAUUUUGACAAACCAUAGGGACUAUCCGGGUAUUUUACUCUAAAAUUCAUCUACAUAAGUUCUUUUUCUUUUUUAAAGUAUUCAACUGGAUUUGUAGUUUUUAAUCUUAAGCUAAGCCAAAUAAAAAUAAGUUUAAUAGUUAAAAGUAGUACUAAAAUGAGUUAUGUAGUUAACAGAUUAAUCAUGAUUCGUGACCUAUUCUUUAAAAAAAUAUAAAAACAGUUAGAUUUAGGUUAAAAUAUUAUUAUCAACUCACGUUAUACAAACAUGCUAUAUUAUUAUAGUAAGCAUUAUUAUUUAUAAGUUUAAUAGUUAAAACUAGUACUAAAAUGAGUUAUGUAGUUUAACACAUUAAUCAUGAUUCAUAACCUAUUCUUUAAAAAAUAUAAAAACAGUUAGAUUUAGGUUAAAAUAUUAUUAUUAACUCACGUUAUACAAACAUGGUAUAUUAUAGUAGAUAGAGGAUCCUGUACAAAGUGGAACUUUUGUGAGAAGUAUAAGAAAUAAUUUGGGAAUGAUAAGUGUCCUUUAUCUUAAUUAAUUCAAAAGGGUAUAUUAGUAAUUUGACAUUCUUAUCAUUUAAUUGAUCCUGUACAAAGUGGAACUUUUGUGAGAAGUGUGAGAAAUAAUUUGGGAAUGACAAGUGUCCUUUAUCCUAAUUAAUUCAAAAGGGUAUAUUAGUAAUUUGACAUUCUUAUCAUUUAAUUGAUUUCCAAGAUA
rnacentral:lncRNA from 1 species